UUUAAGUGUAACCAUGAGUUUUCGCGCUCAAUUUUGAUCGUUCGUCUUAUUUAAUUUUUUUUAUAAUUAGUAUUUUUAUUGCUAUUAGAUGAUAAAACAUGAAUAAUACUUUAUAAGUGACUAAAUAUUUUUAAAUUUUUCAUAAAUUUUUUUAAUAAGACGGACAGUCAAACGUUGAGCACGAAUAUCUACGACUGCACUUAUU
rnacentral:pre_miRNA from 1 species